ACCCUUUUAGCUCAGUGGUCGAGCACUGGCUUUGAAAGCCACUGGUCGGUGGUUCAAAUCCACCCGGGCGCA
rnacentral:tRNA from 1 species